UACGUAGGGUGCAAGCGUUGUCCGGAAUUAUUGGGCGUAAAGAGCUCGUAGGCGGUCUGUCGCGUCUGCUGUGAAAACUCGGGGCUUAACCCCGGGCCUGCAGUGGGUAUGGGCAGACUAGAGUGCGGUAGGGGAGACUGGAAUUCCUGGUGUAGCGGUGAAAUGCGCAGAUAUCAGGAGGAACACCGGUGGCGAAGGCGGGUCUCUGGGCCGUAACUGACGCUGAGGAGCGAAAGCAUGGGGAGCGAACAGG
rnacentral:rRNA from 1 species